UACGGGGGGAGCAAGCGUUGUUCGGAUUUACUGGGCGUAAAGGGCGCGUAGGCGGCGUGACAAGUCACUUGUGAAAUCUCCGGGCUUAACUCGGAACGGUCAAGUGAUACUGUCGGACUAGAGUACAGAAGGGGCAACUGGAAUUCUCGGUGUAGCGGUGAAAUGCGUAGAUAUCGAGAGGAACACCUGCGGCGAAGGCGGCCAACUGGACAGAUACUGACGCUGAGACUCGAAAGCGUGGGGAGCAAACAGG
rnacentral:rRNA from 1 species